AAGACCCCUGAAAGACGAUCAGGUUGAUAGGACAGAGAUGGAAGUGUGGUAACACAUGCAGUUGACUGUUACUAAUAGGUCGAGGGCUUAACCAA
rnacentral:rRNA from 1 species